rnacentral:lncRNA from 1 species
GAUGAUGCAGUACCAGUCACUUCAACAAUCGUCUCCUUGAUUUCUUCCACCGUCUUAGCACUAUCCUCCUCCUUCGCUGCUACCUUCUCGGUCACUUUCUCCGCCGGAGCUGCAGGUUCACCUUCUUUCUUCUCUUCCACCACAGGUGCAGCUUCUUUCUUCUCUUCCACCACAGGUUCAGCUUCUUUCUUCUCUUCCACCACAGGUUCAGCUUCUUUCUUCACUUCCACCACAGGUACAGCUUCUUUCUUCUCAACAGGUUCAGCUUCUUUCUUCGAUUCCACCACAGGUACAGUUUCUUUCUUCUCCUCCACCACAGGUUCAGCUUCUUUCUUCUCUUCCACCACAAGUGCAGUUUCUUUCUUCUCUUCGACCACAGGUGCAGUGAAUUCAUGUUUGUUCAGAGCAUCUCGAACCAAUUCCUUCAACUCAGCUAAAGCCUUCUGUUCAGGAUUUG